rnacentral:misc_RNA from 1 species
CUAUUGUUUAGGAAAUUUAAUUAGCGAUUAGUAUUUUAAUUAUUUUGGCAUUCUAUUGUUUAUAAUUCUUAGUUAGUGUUGGUUUUGUGAAUUCUUAUUUUGGGAUUACUAAUGCUAGUAUUAGUAGGACUAGUUGUUAUACUAUAAAUACCCAUAUCAUCUAGGUACUUUAAUAAAGCUUUUUAUUAUUGAUAUUGACAAUUGAGGAUUAAAUAAAAUUUGAGAGUUUAUUUUUCCCCCUUGGA